rnacentral:rRNA from 1 species
UACGUAGGUGGCAAGCGUUGUCCGGAUUUAUUGGGUUUAAAGGGUGCGUAGGCGGCCUCAUAAGUCAGUGGUGAAAUACUCUAGCUCAACUAGAGAUGUGCCAUUGAUACUGCGAGGCUUGAGUGAAGUCGAGGUAGGCGGAAUUGACGGUGUAGCGGUGAAAUGCUUAGAUAUCGUCAAGAACACCGAUAGUGAAGACAGCUUACUAGACUUAUACUGACGCUGAGGCACGGAAGUGUGGGGAUCAAACAGG